GACGAACGCUGGCGGCGUGCUUAACACAUGCAAGUCGAACGGAAAGGCCCUGCUUUUGUGGGGUGCUCGAGUGGCGAACGGGUGAGUAACACGUGAGUAACCUGCCCUUGACUUUGGGAUAACUUCAGGAAACUGGGGCUAAUACCGGAUAGGAGCUCCUGCUGCAUGGUGGGGGUUGGAAAGUUUGGGCGGUUGGGGAUGGACUCGCGGCUUAUCAGCUUGUUGGUGGGGUAGUGGCUUACCAAGGCUUUCACGGGUAGCCGGCCUUAGAGGGUGACCGGCCACAUUGGGACUGAGAGACGGCCCAGACUCCUACGGGAGGCAGCAGUGGGGAAUAUUGCACAAUGGGCGGAAGCCUGAUGCAGCAACGCCGCGUGCGGGAUGACGGCCUUCGGGUUGUAAACCGCUUUCGCCUGUGACGAAGCGUGAGUGACGGUAAUGGGUAAAGAAGCACCGGCUAACUACGUG
rnacentral:rRNA from 1 species